GACGAACGCUGGCGGCGUGCUUAACACAUGCAAGUCGUACGGUAAGGCCCUUUCGGGGGUACACGAGUGGCGAACGGGUGAGUAACACGUGAGUAACCUGCCCACAACUUUGGGAUAACGCUAGGAAACUGGUGCUAAUACUGGAUAUGUGCUCCUGCUGCAUGGUGGGGGUUGGAAAGCUCCGGCGGUUGUGGAUGGACUCGCGGCCUAUCAGCUUGUUGGUGGGGUAGUGGCCUACCAAGGCGGCGACGGGUAGCCGGCCUGAGGGGGUGACCGGCCACAUUGGGACUGAGAUACGGCCCAGACUCCUACGGGAGGCAGCAGUGGGGAAUAUUGCACAAUGGGCGCAAGCCUGAUGCAGCAACGCCGCGUGCGGGAUGACGGCCUUCGGGUUGUAAACCGCUUUCAGCAGGGACGAAGCUUUUUGUGACGGUACCUGCAGAAGAAGCACCGGCUAACUACGUG
rnacentral:rRNA from 1 species